CCUGGUGCCAACUGUGAGGAGUACAGGAAUGCUGAUUUCAAAUACCUGAGUGGGAAUGGAGCUUGCUGGACCCCACGGCCACCCUGUAAGUAGGUUAGUGCUAUUUUCCCCACCCCUCUUCCUCCUGCUGAGCACUGUUGCCUGUCAGUGUGGCGGCCCUGUACUCAGGGUGCAUGUCAUGUCACUUGGCCUUUGGCCUUACCUGAGAACUCAGCCCCUUGGUCAGAUGUUGAGGUCUGUGGCCUCUGUGCAGCUGGGGGGCACACACAGGUGCUUGUCUGUUGCUCAUGGAUGUAGGUUUAUUCCCAGGCAUUGGCUGUGUUGCGUUGUCCUUCCCUUCUGGAAAGUCACGUGUGUGUGUUCCCAUUCCUUUCCUUGUUGGCGUUUGUAGAGUGACUGAGCAAUUGAGCUUUCCCUUUUAGGUCUCCACAAAAAUGGCUGCAGCUUAGCUUGGACUUCCUAGGGGGGAAUGGAGGACUCAAUGCGUGCUGCAAGGGGGGUGUUCCCUCUUAGUCCCGCGAGCACAGCGAGUGUACUGUCUUGCCCCUUUUUUGUUAGGCCAGAUCAGAGCCUCAUGGUAGUUCUGUGGCUGAGGCCACCCUGUAGCCAGGGCUUGGGCCUGUCCCUGUGUGGCCGCCUGUCUUGCUGGCGAUGUGACAGCCCUGUACUUGGGGUGCGUGUAACAAAGCUGUGGAGCCCCUCUUGUCCCCGGAGCAGCUUGCCCUGCCUGUAACCAGGUCUGGGGUGGCUGCAGUGCUGCAGCUGACUGCUUUAGCCAUUCAGUUGGUGGGAAUGACCCCUCCCUGGCCUGUUGAAGGAUGCAGGUUGAGGUGCUGCUUUGUGGUUGGGGUGAGCUCCCUGCUGUGUGGGUUGUGCCAGGGACACUUCCUGGGCUCCCAAAGAUGUGGUGUUGUGCUGCAGCUGGGCGGACUGGCCUGUACCUCGGGCGUUGGUGGGAGCCACAUCCUUUGGGAGCUCCCUUGGGAUGUUGGGUCCUGGUUUGCUGCAGGUGCUGCUCAGGUCUGAUGGUGACCUCUUUCAUUUUCAGGAGCUGCUGCAGAAGAAAGAAGGAGCAGCAUGUGGAAGUGUGUGAUGUGGGGCCUGAAAGAGAGAACUGGCAGUCUUAUAACAUUAGCUGUUGCUGUGUGGUGUUUCAAGAUAUUCUUGCCUUUUUUUAAUAACUCUUUCCAGCUCUGUACAGCCUUCUACCUUUUUCUUUAUUAAAUGUGUUUUAGUCUCUGUUUGUUAUUUCCCUCUCUGUCCUUCGUCUGUACUUGGUUUUGUUAUUAUUCCAUGGAAGUUACUGGUUUACUAUUGAAUGUUAUUGUUCUUCUGCAAGUAAUCUGGGGCUCUCUUCCUCCUGUCUUGUGAAUAGCAGGUUUUGGUAGCUGAAUGAGGUAUCUCUGCUUGCAGGAUGACUCUUCUCAACUUUGCUCCCAUUGGGUUUUUGCAGUGUUUUUUAUCAGUUGCUGGGUAUUUACUCUGCUGUGAGUGCAGAAGUGGGUGUGCUCAUGGAUGAAUACAUGUUCCUGAUCCCCUUUAAUUGGUAUCUGUGUUAUAUCUGCUGUUGGUUUUUUUUUUUUUCCUAUUCCCUCAUUCCUUCUGUGUUCUUGAUUAUAUUGCACCUUCUGGGAUGAUGGACCUGAUCAUGUUUUCUGGUGUUUUUGUUUCUGAGUAUUCUUUACCUUUAACCAUGCAGGUAGCUCACUUUCUUGGGAUGUGGGGAAAAAAUAUGUGAGUACAGUUCAUGGCUUGGGAUAAAAUCAUUUGUUUUCUGAAAUAAAGAAAAGGAAGUGGGAAGAAAAGGCUAAUAGUUAAUAUAAAUAUGUGUACAACAAGUGCUGCACAAGCAAUUGCUGAUACAGGUGUUCAAUAGGCAGGCCUCCACUGCUCUUUUUUCAGACUGUCUGCAUGAUGUCAUAUGCUAUGGAAUAAAUUUCCCUUUGUCUAGUUUAGGACAGCUCCUUCUGCUGAGUCACAGAAGAAGCUGUGACAACUAAAACUCCCUUGACUCUGUACCUCAGCUUCGACUAGAAAUGUCAGUGUGUUAUCAACAUUUUCUACUAAAAUCAAAACAUAGCAUCAUACCUGUUGCUAAGAAAGGCAACUUUGUCCCAGAUGAAAUUAAGGCAAUCUCCACCUCUUAUUCCAUACCAUCAAUGUCAUGCUCAGGCCCCAUAAUUUUUUAUACAUCUUAAGUAAUUACUGCUAUCUUGAUAUAUCCAUGCACAUAUCUUUCCUAUAGUUUAUGAUCCAUGUAUGUAAAUUGUCCUUUAAGUUCAUUUAGUUUGUGAUGUUGAGCUCAACCUGUACUAGCAGUCUUUCAUUACAGGAGGAAUAUUUCACAGCACUGGGUUACUGCAUGCUAUAGCUAGUCCUGGUUCUAGCUGUAGGCAUUGUUCUUUAACUUGAGUGGUUCUUACUGUAAUACUUUUAACAAGGCAUAUACCAACCAUAGUGGUGAUGGCACAUAGUGUUACAUAGAAGCUGACAUCAUGCAAUUUAAGUUAUUGGCUGUUCUCACCCAGCAUCACGUCUCCUUGAUUACAUGCUAUGGCCAUCCCCAUUGCUCUGUGUCACCUAACUCAUGUACUGUGGUCCCUUGAGCAAAAAUAAUCCCAUGAAUAGGCUUAGCUUUCACCCAAGGCAGGAUUGACUUGGACUGCCUUGAACAGUGUCUUUAUGUGCACCACUGGGACUUCAUCCCCUCUGACAGUAUGCAGGAGGCUUGAUAGGACGAGACCAGCUCACCUGGCAGAUCCCCCAAGUGUUGACUAACCACGUAGCUUUUGCUAAAUGUCCCAGUGUUUGAAUGUCCCUGCACCUAUGGCUCUCAGUGUAGUCUUAACUGCCUCUGUGCUACUUGGUUUUUCCAAAGGUUGUGCAUGAGAGGGGAUGGAGUACAGGCACUUUGUGUCAUGCUGUUUAGCCUAGGUGGUUAGGUUGUUUCAGAAAUGAGUCCCAUAGUCUGACUCAAUUCUUUCUGGGGUACUGUGCUGCAUCAAUACUUGUUUUCCAAUGCCCAGGGGUAGUAUUUUGGGUGGAUUCUGUUGUCUUCUGUACCAAAGAGACUUUAUCUGCUUGGCUUGUUGAACUACAGCAUGUGUUUCACAGUCGUAGACCACUUGUGCAUUAGUGUUCCAUCACUCAGUCCAUCUAGUCCAACUCCUCUUUGCUGAACUGGAACAUCUACAGAGCCCCAUACAGCCUGACCUUGAGUGUCUCUAGGGAGGGGGCCUCCACCACCUCCCUGGGCAGCUUGUACCAGCACUUCACUCCCCUUACUAACUUGCCUCUGCAUACCUUCUUUGGCAGCAGUGAACUUUACAAAGAAGCUCUGUUUUUUUCUUUUUUUACAUUAAUUUGGUGUGGUCUGCAGGAUCCCAAGGAAAGAGAUGCUGGAAGGGGGCAGGAAUGGAUCUGCUGGAGGGAAUUCCAGGUCUGCUUGGGGUAGUCCUGGCCUGGAGAACAAAGAAUGGUGCAGGGAAGGCAUUGGGCUGCCUCACCAAGUGAAAACUUAUCAGCACAUGAAUGGUAGCAGCACAUCCAUGGAUAUGUAUAUUCCAAUUGGUACUUACAGGGAGAGUGGAGAAUGCAGAGACAAGGGUGGAUGCCCCAUUCCUGGAGGUGCUCAAGGCCAGGCUGGGUGGGGCCCUGGGCAGCCUGACCUGUUGGAGGGCAACCAGUCCACUGCAGAGGAUGGGGCUGUGAGGUCUCAUCCAACCUCAGCCUCUGUGAUUCUGUGAUAAGUUAGAAAACUGGAGCACAAAGCCCUCUAGGACUCAAUCCACAAUCAACAAGAAGUCUGAGUGUGGAUGGAGCUCAGCGCGCUUUGCCUGUAGCCACAAAAGGGGUCUGCAGCAUGUGGAGCAACAACAGGGACAGCACUACCUCCCAUGAGCAUCUCUCUUCCCUCACUGCGGGGAUUCCCAUUCCCUGCCCAUGUCUGAGGGUUGGGGUGCUAUCCAGAGAGACCUUAACAGGCUGAACAGUGGGCCCAGACCCAGCUAGAUAUUCUGCAGAGCCAGAAACAUGCCUGGUGCCUUCCAUGCGCUACGUUUGUUAUGCACCUUCCUCAGAAAGUUCCUGACCUAAAACACAUGGAAAAAGAUGGAAGUGUUUUUGCUGGCUUCAGUUCAUCUGAGAUGAGCCAAAAGUCUUGAAUGGAGAAUACUUUAGUGGAAAUGAGAUACUGUUUUCAGUCGACCUUUUAUCAACCUAAAGAUCCAUGCCUCAAAAGAUUUAUUCAGGGACUUCCUUGUUUACUGGCAUUAUUCAUGUCAGUGACAAGUGCCUUUCCAUAUCUGAUCUGUAGGAAAAAUCUCCCUUUUCCCCUCUCAAUUGUAUGUAGUCCAAAGCUAACUGCAUCUUAGUACUGAGAUUGCUUUCUCCUUGAAUCAAAAUAUUUUGGUUCAGCCUGUGUAUUUUCACAGAUCUUAGCUAAAUCACAAACAAUUUCAUUUCUGUAGCAUCACCAGGCUGACAGAUGUUUCACACAAGGAGCUUUUCAGAAUCUUUCUCUCCCCCACUACAGUCUGAGCAAGUACCUGAACGCUUCCUAAGAUGAUAUGCAACAGCUAUAAGAGCUGUAGGAGCAGCUGUAGCUGAGGAUGCAGUAGAUAUUUGGAUACCUGUACCUUAUUUCCAUGUGCAGUCACAAGGACAGAAGUGGAAAGCUAUGUGCAGUAUAUGUCUCUUUUUCCAAAGUCUGUUCCCGUAUAUUUUUCUGCAUAACUGAGAUUAGAAGACAGUGAGAGCUGCUUUACACAAAUUCUUUCCAUUCUUUGCUUUUGCUGUCCCUGAAUUUUGCAGGAAUGAGGACUUAAAUUAAAAGAGCAGGUGUCCCACGAGUAACCAUUGCUGCUGCCUGUCCCUCCAUUAUGCAUUGUUGUGUUUAUAGCAGUUAGAGAAGCAGCUUUGACGGUGAUUAGAGGUAGCAGCAAUUCUGCUCACCAAUGCCAACUGCUCAUGCAGGGAUCCAGGAGGAAAGCUGUCAUUGUGCCAUCAAAGGAUAAAAAAAAAAUUGCAACAAACAGUGGCACAAAAAGACUGUUUUAGAGAAAAAAUAUCUUCAAAAUCUUAAAUAAGUACAACCCAUAAGAGAAAGGGUUGAAUCUAAUGGGUGCCUUCAAUGAGCAUCACACCAGUUGAGGGCACGAAGAUACGUGAGCAAAGUGACAAAAAUGAAGCUCUGAGUAGCAUAAGCCUUUAGUAAGGGCUGCAUCUCUUUGGAAGGAAGAAGGACCUCUCUUGUUGAUGCAGCAAAGAGACAGAAAGUCGUUCUGCCAACACUGGUGCUGACAAGCCCAGCAGAUGAUUGUCAUCAGGCAAAUCAGAUGGGAGUUUCUACUGAAUGUCGAAUGCAGCUAAAGAUCUGAUUUGCCUUGCCUGCAGUCAGUCAGAGCAAACACCUACCCAGGCACUCAGCACCUGGGUAACUCCGCAAAGACAAGGAAAAGUCAGAAAUGGGCAACACCUUGCAGGGGAGGUUGUAAAUGGAAUGUAAUGGUCCAGAGAGAGGGGAAACCUCAUGCACAUGAAGGGUUAUGCCCACUUCUCCUGAAGGCGAUGUCUUGUUGGCCAUGUCAACAAGAGGGCAGUGGGCAUGGGUCUGUGCCAGCAGAAUUGCUUUUACAAUUCUCUCUCCCAAGUUCUACUCCGUUUCCAUGAGCAAAUAAACGGAUUGUUUAAUCUCCUGAGGCAGUGGAUUUAUCUGCUUUUAAAGGGGCUUUUAUAGUCCUUUCCUUGUGUUUUCUGCAAGGUGGCUGUGUGACAUGAAAAGUAUUAUUCACCUGUGCUUUUACAUG
ensembl:lncRNA